GGAUUGUGGCUCAGUGGUAGAGUGCUUGCCUAGCAUGUGCAAGGUGCCUGGUUCGAUCCUCAGCACCA
rnacentral:tRNA from 1 species